rnacentral:rRNA from 1 species
UACUGCCUCUUAGCGGGGGAUAACUAUUGGAAACGAUAGCUAAUACCGCAUAAAAGUCGAUAUCGCAUGAUAUUGAUUUGAAAAGGUGCAAUUGCAUCACUAAGAGAUGGACCUGCGUUGUAUUAGCUAGUUGGUGAGGUAACGGCUCACCAAGGCGACGAUACAUAGCCGACCUGAGAGGGUGAUCGGCCACACUGGGACUGAGACACGGCCCAG